rnacentral:rRNA from 1 species
GACGAACGCUGGCGGCGUGCCUAAUACAUGCAAGUAGAACGCAGUUGCGAACGGGUGAGUAACGCGUAGGUAACCUGCCUCUAAGCGGGGGAUAACUUUUGGAAACGAGAGCUAAUACCGCAUACUGUGAGAUGGACCUGCGUUGUAUUAGCUAGUUGGUGAGGUAAAGGCUCACCAAGGCGACGAUACAUAGCCGACCUGAGAGGGUGAUCGGCCACACUGGAACUGAGACACGGUCCAGACUCCUACGGGAGGCAGCAGUGGGGAAUAUUGCACAAUGGGCGCAAGCCUGAUACAGCCAUGCCGCGUGUAUGAAGAAGGCCUUCGGGUUGUAAAGUACUUUCAGCGGGGAGGCGGUACCCGAAGAAGAAGCACCGGCUAACUCCGUGCCAGCAGCCGCGGUAAUAC